rnacentral:rRNA from 1 species
UAGGGAACCUUCCACAAUGGACGCAAGUCUGAUGGAGCAACGCCGCGUGAGUGAAGAAGGUUUUCGGACCGUAAAGCUCUGUUGUUGGUGAAGAAGGAUAGAGGUAGUAACUGGCCCUUUAUUUGACGGUAAUCAACCAGAAAGUCACGGCUAACUACGUGCCAGCAGCCGCGGUAAUACGUAGGUGGCAAGCGUUGUCCGGAUUUAUUGGGCGUAAAGCGAGCGCAGGCGGAAGAAUAAGUCUGAUGUGAAAGCCCUCGGCUUAACCGAGGAAUUGCAUCGGAAACUGUUUUCUGAGUGCAGAAGAGGAGAGUAGAACUCCAUGUGUAGCGGUGGAAUGCGUAGAUAUAUGGAAGAAUACCAGUGGCGAAGGCGGCUCUCUGGUCUGCAACUGACGCUGAGGCUCGAAAGCAUGGGUAGCGAACAGGAUUAGAUACCCUGGUAGUCCAUGCCGUAAACGAUGAGUGCUAAGUGUUGGGAGGCUUCCGCCUCUCAGUGCUGCAGCUAACGCAUUAAGCACUCCGCCUGGGGGAGUACGACCGCAAGGUUGAA